rnacentral:rRNA from 1 species
UCCACGGAAGGCAGCAGGCGCGCAAAUUACCCACUCCCGGCACGGGGAGGUAGUGACGAAAAAUAACGAUACGGGACUCAUCCGAGGCCCCGUAAUCGGAAUGAGUACACUCUAAACCCUUUAACGAGGAUCAAUUGGAGGGCAAGUCUGGUGCCAGCAGCCGCGGUAAUUCCAGCUCCAAUAGCGUAUAUUAAAGUUGUUGCGGUUAAAAAGCUCGUAGUCGAAUCUGUGUCCUGCGACGCUGGUUCAUCGCUCGCGGUGUUUAACUGGCGUGUCUGCGAGACGUCCUGCCGGUGGGCUUAGCCUUCACGGGCGGCCCAACUUCAAAUCCCACCGCGGUGCUCUUCAUUGAGUGUCGAGGUGGGCCGGCACGUUUACUUUGAACAAAUUAGAGUGCUUAAAGCAGGCUAAAACUUCGCCUGAAUAUUGUGUGCAUGGAAUAAUGGAAUAGGACCUCGGUUCUAUUUUGUUGGUUUUCGGAACCCCGAGGUAAUGAUUAAUAGGAACGGAUGGGGGCAUUCGUAUUGCGACGUUAGAGGUGAAAUUCUUGGAUCGUCGCAAGACGGACAGAAGCGAAAGCAUUUGCCAAAAACGCUUUCAUUGAUCAAGAACGAAAGUUAGAGGUUCGAAGGCGAUCAGAUACCGCCCUAGUUCUAACCAUAAACGAUGCCAGCUAGCGAUCCGUCGACGUUCCUCCGAUGACUCGACGGGCAGCUUCCGGGAAACCAAAGCUUUUGGGUUCCGGGGGAAGUA